ensembl:lncRNA NXF4 nuclear RNA export factor 4 (pseudogene)
AUGACAUUGUGGACUCCCUCAGUGUGUUGUCCAAAACUCAGCAUGACCUCAGCUCCUUCCUGGUGGACAUGUGUUACCAGAAGGCAAGCACCUGCUUACUCCCUUGGACAGGCCCUGAGAGCCAGAGGUGGGUAGGAGGUUAAGGGGGAUCCUGAGCACUGGAGCUCUUCCCUUUCAGAAAUGGAUGCUCUACUUUUCUGUCUACGGUGUGUUGAAAGAAGAACACAGUGAUGGUAGCAGCUCUCCUCAAGGAGAAAAUAAAGGUGGAGAUUCUUCCCAGGGGAAUUUUGGAAAGGAGAACCUUCAUGAUGAACAUGAUGGCAACCCCUCUACCUUACAACCCGAUAGUAGGAGUGUGAAAUGCCAUAGUGAAUACCAAGAUAGAAUUCCUCCAGAGAGAGAAGUGGAGAAGAACACACAGAAUGGAGACCCAGGGACCUGGUUCAAGGUCACAAUUCCUUAUGGGAUAAAGUAUGAUAAGAGUUGGAUAGUGAAUUCAAUCCAGAGCCAUUGCAGUGUCCCCUUCACUCCAGUCGCUUUCCACUACAACAAAAAUCGGGCCCAUUUCUUUAUUCAGGAUGCUAGUGCUGCCUGUGCAUUAAAGAAAGUCAACUGCAAGAUUCAUGAUGAGGAAAACCAAAAGGUAUUUGUUUUUGUCAAUCUUUCUACUAAACCCCAGUCUAUCCAGAAAAUGUUGAAACCAAAAGAGAUGGCAUAGCUAAAGCUGACCCUGAACAAAUGAUAUGAUGUCUCCCAGCAAGCUCUUGAUCUCCAGAGGCUCCGCUUUGACCCAGGUAUGGCUGACAGCAGCAAUUCUAGGGCAAGUAGGGGCAGAGCAGUCUGCCUGGAAAGGAGACUUAUAUGGACGGCAACUUUGGGAGGGUUGGUGCUGGUGCUGGUCCAGUCAGGCCCCUUACAGCCUUCUGAUGCCCUUCUCUCGGCUUCCUGGAGACUUGGUGAAACAUCAUAUUGAUAUAAUCCUGAAUCAAAGAAACUACAUGGCUGCCACUCUGAAGAUCAUUGAAAGGAAUUUCCCUGAGCUAUUAUCUUUGAACUUGUGCGACAACAAACUGUACCACCUGGAUGGCCUGCCUGACAUUAUAGAGAAGGCUCCCAAAGUCAAGACCCUGAAUCUCUCCAAAAAUAAGCUGAAGUCGGCUUGGGAGUUGGGCAAGGUGAAAGGGUUGAAGCUCGAAGAGCUAUGGCUGGAAGGGAACUCAUUGUGCAGCACCUUCUCUGACCAGUCCGCCUAUGUAAGUAUCAUCCGGGAAUAUUUCCCCAAGUUGUUAUGCCUGGAUGGCCAGGAGUUAGCAUCUCCAAUUAUAAUUGGCAUUGAAGCCCCUGAGAUAAUAAAACCUUGUAAGGAAAGCUAUAAAGGAUCUGAGACCAUAAAGAGUCUGGUGCUUCAGUUCCUGCUUCAGUAUUACUUGAUCUAUGACUCUGAAGAUCGAACGGGUCUCCUCAGUGUUUACCAUGACAAGGCCUGCUUCUCCCUGACCAUUACCCUCAACCCUGAGGACCCAGAACCGAGCAGCUUGGAAAAAUACUUCAAGGAUAGCAGGAAUAUAAAGAAUAUCAAGGACCCUUGCCUGAGGAUUCAGCUGCUGAAGCACACAAAACGUGAGAUUGUGGACUCCCUCAGUGUAUUGCCCAGAACUCAGCAUGACCUUAACUCCUAUGUGGUAGACUUGUGCAUCCAAACGGUGAGCACCUGCUUCCUCCCUCAGUCAGGCCCAGAGAGCUGAAGUAGGUAGGAAGUAGGUAGGUGGGUAGGAGGAUCAUGAAGGCUCUAGUUUUUUCUUCUUCCCUUUCAGGAAAGGAUGCUCGUCUUUUCUGUCAAUGGAGUAUUUAAGGAAGGUGAGUGUCUAUAGAUUCUUCUCUCCAGAUCACUCAUUACUCCCUUCCCCAGGCUGGGCUUACUCCAAGAACUCUCUCAGCUUCCCAAGUUGCUCUUCUCCCCUUCCCUUGCAUUCUUCCUCUCCGUUUGUGUUCUUCCUCUCCUGGCAACUUUCUGUUAUCUUUGUGUUCUUUCCUUUUUGUUCCCUUCCCUUUGUGUUCUUCCUCUCCCCCAAUUUUGUUCCCAAACAUCAUUACUUCCUGACCUACAUCCAUGCCUGUCUGCACCUGCACCACUCAGGCGUUAGGGACACAGCCUGUAGAGUUUGAUGGCUCUCAUCCCAGGUUGUUACUUUGCGAACUUGGGACAUUGUCCUGUUACCUAACCCCUCAGUUUCCUCAUUUGCAAAAUGGGGUUGGUAAGCUCAUCUCUUGGGUGACUGUGUAAAAUGAAUCAAGCGAACUCAUGUUUGUCAAGAGACCUGACACAUGUUAGGGGGUUCUAUCCCUGGGUGCCGCUUGUUCCUAUUUUUGCCCUCUCAGUCCCUGAAACUCCCUCCUGACUCUCACUGAAAAGUUGUCCCAGCCUGGCUCCCUUCAGGGUGCCAAAAGAUUAUCUCCCUGACUGGAGAACCCUGUAUGAAUGUGUAAAGCAUGUGCAACUGUAAGGAGGUAUCAUUGUUUGUUGUUUCUAAAGUGGAAAGAGAGUCUCCAGGUUCUGUUCUUGCCUUCACCCGAACCUUCAUCUUGACUUCUGUCGGCAAUUCCAAGUAAGUGCUGUGCUGUGGGUGGGAGCACCCAUCCUGUCCUGGAGCCAAUGGUGUGGUAAUGUGGUGGUGCAGUCCUCGGGAUGUUCUCAGUACCAUAGAAAGCCAACUGGUAGAUCCAAGGAGAGGUCUAGAUUAUGAGAAUACCAGAUUCUCUUUUUGGCCACAAUACUUACUAAUUAGCUGUGUAUCUUUUUGUCCAGUUGUAAGAUUUCUCUGUGAAACAGUCCUUUUCUGAAAAUGGGAUGUCUACUUCUUUUGUAAAGUGUAAAUGCAUUGGGGUUAAAUCUACAAAUCUAAGGAAACUGGUAGGCAAUCUCUCCAAAGGUGGACUCUGCAGCAGGGGUAAAGCCUACCAGCCAAGGAAUCCGAAAGGUGGGCAGAGCAGGGGCUUGGAAGGAAUCUGGUUCCUCAGUGGCAGUGGAAGCAGGAUCAUUGUUGAAAGUGUGGGGUUGUCCAUUUUUCCAGUUGUCUGAGAGCUUGUCUUUCCUUCAGUCUGUAUAUUGUGAAUGACAAGCUGAUUGUGAGGAAUGCCAGCACGAAGGAGACCCAGAGUGCCUUCUCCAUCCCAGUGCCUGCACCCUCCUCCAGCUCCUUGCCUACCCUCUCCCAGAAGCAGCAGGAAAUGGUGGAGACUGUCUCCACCCAGUCUGGGAUGAAACUUGAGCAGUCUCAGAAGUGCCUUCAGGACAGUGAGUAGAACUACACCAAAGCUGACCAGGUUUUCACUAUUCUCCAGACCGAAGGCAAGAUCUCAGUGGAGGCCUUCAAGCAAAUCCCCUAAAAGGAGCCCUUCGAUGUCUUCUUUGUCUUCAUUCACAUCCUCUUUGUUUCCUCUUUUUACCAGCCUAAGGCCGUGCCCAGGACUGGGGUUGGCAGCCUGGCUCACCGGAAAGCCAAAGUUAACUUGCAGGCCGGGUAACAUAACCACUUGAAGAACCAGUUGUUCUGUGUAUUCGCCCCACUCAUGAUCACCAUUUAUUUUCAUAAUAAAGAGUGAUGUUACAUGUUGUA